AGUUGACACUUAGAAAGUCAUGUGAUCUGUGUUCUCUAAAACAAGGAUGUGAUACUAAAAGCUAAACAUCUGGGAUUUAGACAGCAUACUAAUGUUUCAGUACCGAUAUUCUGACAUUGAUCAUUCGGUGAAUAUUAUUUACGCUGUUCUUCUUUUGUGGAUUCUGGUUAUACCAUGUAACGUUAGUGUUCAUGGAACGCACGUCUGGCCAGUGCCUUACAAGAGACUUGACAGACGUCCAGAUGUUGAACCUUACUGCCAGGCUUUAUAUCCAUUCUGCCCCACUGGAGAUCCAGACGGCCAGAUACCAUGCAUGAAAGCUUCUGAUACCAUCUCAGUGUUCAGGCUUCAGGCUCCUGUGUGGGAGUUUAAAUAUGGUGACAUGUUGGGAAAGUUUCAUAUCAUGCAUGAUGCCAUUGGCUUUGCAAGUGCGGACACUGGAAGAAACUUUACUAUGGAGUGGUAUGAGCUAUUCCAGCUUGGGAAUUGCACUUUUCCACAUGAAAGAGAAAAUGUAAGUGCACCAUUUUGGUGUAACCAAGGAGCUGCAUGCUUCUAUGAAGGAAUAGAUGACAUACACUGGAAACAGAAUGGGACUCUGGAGAAAAUAGGAGAGAUUUCAGGUGAGAUGUUUAAUGAGAUGGCACGGUGGGUUCAGGACGACAAUGAAACAGGUGUAUAUUAUGAGACUUGGACAGUGAAAACAGACCCUGGAGCCAAUGCUACAACAUGGUUUGAAUCCUACGAUUGUUCCCAGUUUGUGCACCGUACAUAUAGGAAAUUAUUUGAGCUAGGUGCCGUUCUGUUGAGCAAAACCCAAACCAAUUAUACAAAGAUCUAUUUGUACAGUGGAGAGCCUGUCUAUUUGGGAGAUGAUGCUAUUUUUCAACAGUCUUCAACAAAAGAUCUUGCUACAGAUAUCAAAAAGUUCUAUCAUUCAUUUCGCCCUCACCAGUCAGUUUUGGAAGUUAUUAUUAGUGUCUUUGAAGCUUAUGAAGAGACAAUCCUCGAGAAGACAUUCUAUUUGUACUACAACUCUGCAUAUUGGAAAUUGCAGAUGAAACAUCCUUACUUUAGAAUAACCUACAAGGAGAUUCCUUUACCGUAAUUCCAUACCGUAAUGCUGAAUCUUUGCUACUAAACUUUUAUUUUCUAUAAAAAAAUUAUUUUCAUUGUCACCACCACAUUAUCACCAGAUAACUUGGCAUAAUAAUAGCAGUGUUUACCCAUAUUGAUUAGUACAUUGUUUACCAAAUACUGAUUUGUGAACUUUAAAAUAUGGUCUAAUGUAAUAAUGUUGUUCUUGUUGCUUUAACUCUUGCUGUAAAUGUGAUUUGAUAUCAUUGAACAACAUUCAGAAAAGUCUGCAUAAAUGUUUAGUAUGCCUUUAUUUAAACAUCAGAUACCUUAUCAUGAUUUACAAUGCAAAUAAAUGCAAUCCUUCUGAUUAAAAUUUUAAUAAGCAAAACAAUGCUCAUUUGAUAUUCCUGCGAAACUACUAAGCAUUUACAAAAGAAGGCUUGGUUUAACUCAACUCAACUUUAUUUAUAUAACGCUUUUUACAAUUUUCAUUGUUACAAAGCAGCUGUACAUGAGACAUAUUGACUAUAAGCAAAACAAUUAAAGUUGUACCUGUAAAAACAAGAAAAAGGUGAAAACCAUUUACUGUCAUACAGAAAACCAAGUUUUUGUUUUAAAAAUUAACUAAUGACAGAACAUCUCACCUGCAAAUAAUAGUGAAUUUUAUCCAGAAAAUAAUAUCCAAAAAAUGCAUAUACUGUACACUGUAAACCCCAAUGUUGUCAUUAAUAAAGACAUUAAGUUAUCAUAGCUUAACAUUACUUAAAAUACCACGUUUUGGAAUCAAAACUGCAAAUAUGUUUAAUAAAAUUAUUUGGCAGCAAAAACCUUUCGAAUUAGGAUUAUAAGUGUUAUGAACUCAAAAUUGUGAGUUAUUUAAAUUAUUUUAUAAUUAUUUGUUUAAAAUGAUUGGUCAUUUGAAAUUAUGCCUUGAGGAACGCGCUGAUUGGUCGGUAUUACACAAGGCGAUAAUUUUUUGGUCGUUGUGAAUUUGAUGAGGAGAAUCGGGCAUGUCACUAGAGGGAAGAACUAUGUAAAACGUGAAUUUUGACUGGUAAGUACAGAUUAAAACGCAUACACUUUCCUUAAUUGCAUCACACGUUUUAUUGUAGUAUUAUUAGCAUGUAUGUAUGUUUUAACACUUUCCCGUUUUACUCCCUCAGAAGCAUUAACAAAUAGGCUGUCGCCGCGAAGAACGUUAGGCCGAAAAAGAGCGUCGCUGUGAGGACUCACUAAAGAACGCUUAUAAGUUAAAGGUAAAAUACAUGUGUAAAUUUUGCUUAAAAUUUUUGCUUAGUUGCCUUAAAACGAUUUUGCAGGUUAUAAAUACUUUCCGGUUUUCUGCAGUGGUACUUAGUACUUACGUUAGCGGAUAGGGGUCAUUGUGAAGUAGGCAGGCAAAGAGACCUCGUAAUAGGCUCACCGAAGAACUCUUGUAAGUUAAUUGUAAAUAAUAAUGAUUGGUAAAUAAUUGUUCAUAAUUGUUCUUGCUUAGUUGCCUAACGUAAAAGUCACAGCCGAAUCGCACAGGAAUAGUAAUAUAUGGGGACCUUGUGUGAUUUAGAAAUUACCUCCCCACAUAUGUAUUUCAUGUGGCGCAUUUGCACGGGAUAAGCGAAGCCUGUGAUUUUACUAAAAUUUACGGAAUUUCCCGAAUGUGAUGGCAAGGCUUUGCGUAUAGUUUUUGUGUGUAUAAAUAUAUAUGAGUACAUUGUAUGGUGUAUAAUGAUAUAUCACCGUGCCUGUCAGCAUUUGAGACCUGCGUUCGUGAUAUUCCUAAAAUCGUACGUAAUCUUCUAAUAUUCCUCUGUCCGGUUCGUGUUAUGGGAGUUUUCAUGAGAAAUAACAAAACUGCAUAACGGUAUAACCCAUAAAACAUUUCAACACAGCCUCCAUUAUUCGCUCAUUGGAGACAACAUACCGUCGUCAGGUACCAAUAGCGUCUGGCUGCAGACGAGAUGCACUCUCAGACACAUGCACUCUCAGCCGCACAUGCGCACUCAGACACAUGCACUCUCAGGCGCAUACACUCGGACAUAGGCCACUUGUAAGUAUUUUUAUUCAUUUCGUACAAGAUUAAGUUGAAGUAAAAGUGUUGUUUUUAAUUAUCAGGUAAAUGUUAUUGAAAACGAUCCUGAUAUUUAACGUUAUCCUAUAUAUCUCGCAGGCACAGGCCCCUCGACGUUGUUAGAGGGAGCCCUUACGAAAAUUGACCAUGGUUUUACUACAGUUAAAACCAAAAAACAUGGUUACUGUAGUAAAACAAUGGUUAUCACAAAAUAACCAUGGUUUUGAAAACCAUGUUUUUGUAAAAACCAUAGUAAACGAUGGUAGCUGUAGUAAAAUCAUGGUUGUGCCCCAAGUAAUCAAUGCACCAAAAAACCAUGGUUACUACACUUGUACCACAAAAAAAACAUGGUUUAUUUUCGUAAGGGAGGGUUCAGUGACUGCUAAAAAAAAGUAAGUAUAUUUAUUUAAAAAUAUUAAAAAUAUUGAGUGUUUCACUGGCUCUGGGCUGUUGUUUUAAAAAGUGACAGGGAAGUUUUAAUAAGACUAGCUUUAUUUAAUUAUUGUUUAGACGAAGUGUUACUUAACAUGAUUUAAUAUGAAGUGGGAAUCUUUAAAAGAACAAGUCAUUUUUAUAUUGUUAACAAUGGUUCUUUAAAACGAGAUAUACAUGGAAUACGACAAAAAUGUAAAGAAUAUAAUACACAUCAGAAUGAUUUUCAUUUCUGUUUUUUCAAUUUAUGCUUACAGAUGCUGUUCAGGAAGUUCAGGCUGACUGGAAAGUGCAUAUAAAAAAUGCAAUCAUUAUUCAAGGUAAAGAUUAGUGUAUUUCAAAAUGAUUACAAUGUGUCUGUUGCCGUUCAAGACAUAUUGCACACUUACUGUCGCACACACUAUCAAACUCUCUCAUACACUAAUACUCAUACACAUAUAACUAAAGUCAUUUAUGCUCACACUACCAAACCAUAAGCGUAAAAAUGGCAUGUUGUCAUGACAAACUAGGAUGUAUUUUUUCCAAUAACAGGAAGAGCCUUAAGUUUCCACGUACAGGUAACUUGAACACAUUACUUUGUAGCAGCUCCUCAGGAAAAGUACCAGUUACUUUUAAAAAAAAUGUAGUACUCAAGGAAACAGGCUCAAACUUCAUAUUUGCUUUAUUAGGUAGAUGAAACCAGUGUUUUCACCGUUGAGUUUCCACCGGAGAAACAGGUGGUUCAGUCUCCACGAAAAGUGCGUGUCAUGACGGAUCUUAAGACUGCCUGGCAGUGUUGCUUGGAGAACUCUGGGGAUCUUCUUGUCUCACUUCAGCUAUCUCGUAUACUGUGCAUGGAGGAUGAAGAAGCUGCUGAGGCCUUGGAACGGUUCUUCAGUGCAGAGUUCAUAGAGGACAAUCUUGUAGAGCCACUGAUAUUUGUUUUUACAUUUAUGCAGGACAUUUUGGUGCUGCCCUUGUCCACCCUCCAAGAACUGUAUACAUCUAGAGCAGGGAUGGGGAACCUUGAUCCUGGAAGGCCACUGUCCUGCAGUGUUUAUCUCCAACCUAAUCAAACACACCUGAACCGGCUCAUUGAAGUCUUCAGGAUUACUAGAAACUUCACGACAGACGUUUGUUUGAGCUUGUUGGUGCCAAACUCUUCAGGACAGUGGCCCUCCAAGAUCAAGGUUCCCCACCCCUGAUUUAGAGUAAGAAAAGGACUGUGAAAAUGACUAUGGACCCCUCAUCAUCCAAGCCAGCGUCUGGUCGGCGCUACAGAGCAAUAAGCACCAAAACAACCAGACACAAAAAAAUGUUCUUCCCUCACGCAAUCUACGUCAUGAAGUUAAAUGUUCUACCCACUGUGCAAUUAAUAGCAUUGCGCAAUAGUAAGCAAAUGUAAUACUAAUUAUAUCCACCUGAUAAUAGUCUAUUUUUAUAUCAUUUUUGUGUAAAUUAUUUUUCGUUAUGCUGUAUAUAGCACACAUUUUGUAGAUACAAUAAAUUUGUUAUGGUGAAAGAAACAUCCAUUGCACAAAAACAGCAGCACACAGAGUCCAUAACACAAUACAAUAGACAGGUUGUCUAUAUAUAAAAAAGAAUAGAAAAGAAUAUAAAUAAGAUGGAGUGUAAAACUAUGCAUGUAUAUUGUAUGUGCAGAUAUACUUCACAAUAAAGCUCUUUCUGAUUCUAUUUUUUAGAGAAUGUGGUGGACAACAUGCAUCUCGGAAUCUUUUGUCAAGCACGAAAUUGAAAAACAUAGUUGUUAAUUUUUUUAACGUUAUGAUUUUAUAUUAUACAUGGAAAAGUUUUAUUUAAUAAUGUAAUAAUGUUAAUUAGUAAUGUAUUGCCAUUAUAACCUUUUAUGUAGGCACAUAUGCGAAGUAAUCAGACAUUAUUAGUGUAGAUGUUCAAUAAUGUCUUUCAGGUAGAAUUUUGUAUAAAUCUGCGCCAUGACCUGAAUCGCCAGUCUUUACGGUACUCUUAAGCCUGGCUCAGACUACAGGAGUUUUAAAAUCCUGACAGAUUUCAAAUUCUGGUUGCAGCACACACAUAAGGAGAAUCUUAACAGAUUCUCUUAUUUAAAAUCUUAAACCUGGCUCAGACUACAGGAGUUUUAAAAUCCGGAAAGAUUAAAAAUUCUGGUUGCAGCACACACAUAAGGAGAAUCUUGACAGAUUCUCUUAUUUAAAAUCUUAAACAAGCUCACACUCAUCAGUGUACAACUAAAUUACACAUAUUUUACAUAUCCAUAGGAUAUGCAGUUUUGUAAAAGGAGCUAAUAGUAACCGUUUUAAUGGGUUUACUAUUUUUAGAUGUUGACAUCACAUCUACAUUUGAAUCUCUUUUUCAAGCACUACAAAAAUAGGUUUGCCCUUUGUAAACUUGCAUUUAUGAAUGUGAAAUGUCCAGAUAAGAAAACGUUGGGGCGUAAAGUUGUGUUUAUAAAUAAGCCUAAAGGUAGCAAGUGCAAAAAUAAAAAUUUAGAAAGUUUGAUUGGAAGUUUUUUUAUUUCAUAAUUGCACAUCAAAAGACAUUCUAAGACACCCAAACUACAGG